rnacentral:rRNA from 1 species
UAGUUUGAUCCUGGCUCAGAUUGAACGCUGGCGGCAUGCCUUACACAUGCAAGUCGAACGGUAACAGGUCUUUGGAUGCUGACGAGUGGCGAACGGGUGAGUAAUACAUCGGAACGUGCCUAGUAGUGGGGGAUAACUACUCGAAAGAGUGGCUAAUACCGCAUGAGAUCUACGGAUGAAAGCAGGGGAUCGCAAGACCUUGUGCUACUAGAGCGGCCGAUGGCAGAUUAGGUAGUUGGUGGGAUAAAAGCUUACCAAGCCGACGAUCUGUAGCUGGUCUGAGAGGACGAUCAGCCACACUGGGACUGAGACACGGCCCAGACUCCUACGGGAGGCAGCAGUGGGGAAUUUUGGACAAUGGGCGCAAGCCUGAUCCAGCAAUGCCGCGUGCAGGAUGAAGGCCUUCGGGUUGUAAACUGCUUUUGUACGGAACGAAAAGCCCUGGGUUAAUACCCUGGGGUCAUGACGGUACCGUAAGAAUAAGCACCGGCUAACUACGUGCCAGCAGCCGCGGUAAUAC